rnacentral:rRNA from 1 species
UACGUAGGGUGCGAGCGUUGUCCGGAAUUAUUGGGCGUAAAGAGCUCGUAGGCGGUUUGUCGCGUCGACUGUGAAAACUGGGGGCUUAACCCUGAGCCUGCUUCCGAUACGGGCAUCACUGGAGUUCGGCAGGGGAGACUGGAAUUCCUGGUGUAGCGGUGAAAUGCGCAGAUAUCAGGAGGAACACCGGUGGCGAAGGCGGGUCUCUGGGCCGAUACUGACGCUGAGGAGCGAAAGCGUGGGGAGCGAACAGG